CAACCCUCAGGCCCUGCCUGGUGUUGGGGAGCCACUGCUGUGGGCCCCGAAAGUCAGCGGCGGGCACGCCCCGGACCCGAGCGUAGUAGCACAUCUCGCUUAGGGCUUCGGGCGGGCUCUUGCCGUAAAACACCCCAAAUCUAA
rnacentral:misc_RNA from 1 species